rnacentral:rRNA from 1 species
UACAGAGGUCUCAAGCGUUGUUCGGAUUCAUUGGGCGUAAAGGGCGCGUAGGCGGCGUUUUAAGUCGGGGGUGAAAGCCUGUGGCUCAACCACAGAAUGGCCUUCGAUACUGGGACGCUUGAGUAUGGUAGAGGUUGGUGGAACUGCGAGUGUAGAGGUGAAAUUCGUAGAUAUUCGCAAGAACACCGGUGGCGAAGGCGGCCAACUGGACCAUUACUGACGCUGAGGCGCGAAAGCGUGGGGAGCAAACAGG